rnacentral:rRNA from 1 species
CCUACGGGGGGCAGCAGUGGGGAAUAUUGCACAAUGGGGGACACCCUGCUGCAGCGACGCCGCGUGAGUGAAGAAGUAUUUCGGUACGUAAAGCUCUAUCAGCAGGGAAGAAAAUGACGGUACCUGACUAAGAAGCCCCGGCUAACUACGUGCCAGCAGCCGCGGUAAUACGUAGGGGGCAAGCGUUAUCCGGAUUUACUGGGUGUAAAGGGAGCGUAGACGGCAGCGCAAGUCUGGAGUGAAAUCCCAUGGCUUAACCAUGGAACUGCUUUGGAAACUGUGCAGCUAGAGUGCAGGAGAGGUAAGCGGAAUUCCUAGUGUAGCGGUGAAAUGCGUAGAUAUUAGGAGGAACACCAGUGGCGAAGGCGGCUUACUGGACUGUAACUGACGUUGAGGCUCGAAAGCGUGGGGAGCAAACAGGAUUAGAUACCCUGGUAGUC